rnacentral:other from 1 species
CGCACCCUGCCGUGCGCGUGAUUUUACCCCUCACGUUUUGAGCCAACACCCUAAAAAAGGUUUCUGACUUCAGUAGAAACAACGCGAUAGGCUAGAGCCAAGGCGGCGUUUCUCGAUACGAAACCACCUGCGAAAGCAGGUUCAAAACUUGGUAGAACACGGCAUGUGCGGGGUAUUA